GUGCUCACGUUGGCAGCACACAUACUAAAGUUGGAACAGUACAGAGAAGAUUAGCAUGGCUCCUGUGCUAACAUGUAAAUUCAUGAAGCAUUCCAUAUUUUA